AGUGGGGAAUAUUGGACAAUGGGGGCAACCCUGAUCCAGCGACGCCGCGUGUGUGAAGAAGGCCUGCGGGUUGUAAAGCACUUUUAGUGGGGAUGAAAAGCCGAAGGCUAAUACCUUUCGGUCUUGACCUAACCCACAGAAAAAGCACCGGCUAACUCUGUGCCAGCAGCCGCGGUAAUACAGAGGGUGCAAGCGUUAAUCGGAAUUACUGGGCGUAAAGCGUGCGUAGACGGUUAUGUAAGUCAGAUGUGAAAGCCCAGGGCUCAACCUUGGAAUUGCAUUUGAGACUGCAUAGCUAGGGUGCGGAAGAGGGAAGCGGAAUUUCCGGUGUAGCGGUGAAAUGCGUAGAUAUCGGAAGGAACACCAGUGGCGAAAGCGGCUUCCUGGUCCAGCACCGACGUUCAGGCACGAAAGCGUGGGGAGCAAA
rnacentral:rRNA from 1 species